AACGAACGCUGGCGGCAUGCCUAACACAUGCAAGUCGAACGGGACGUUCGGGUCUAGGGGCGCACGGGUGCGUACCGCGUGGGAACCUGCCCUUAGGUUCGGUAUCCCUCCCCGAGAGGGGAGCUAAUACCGGAUGAUGUCUUCGGACCAAAGAUUUAUCGCUUUUGGAUGGGCCCGCGUUAGAUUAGCUAGUUGGUAGGGUAAAAGCAUACCAAGGCCACGAUCCAUAGCUGGUGUGAGAGGAUGAUCAGCCACACUGGGACUGAGACACGGCCCAGAACCCGACGGGAGGCAGCAGUGUGGAAUAUUGGACAAGGGGCGAAAGCCUGACACAGCCACGCCGCGGGUGUGAUGAAGGCCUUAGGGUUGUAAAGCUCUUUUACCCGGGAUGAUAAUGACAGUACCGGGAGAAUAAGCUCCGGCUAACUCCGUG
rnacentral:rRNA from 1 species